rnacentral:rRNA from 1 species
CGUUUCCUACGGGAGGCAGCAGUGGGGAAUAUUGCACAAUGGGGGGAACCCUGAUGCAGCGACGCCGCGUGAGUGAAGAAGUAUUUCGGUAUGUAAAGCUCUAUCAGCAGGGAAGAAAGAAAUGACGGUACCUGACUAAGAAGCCCCGGCUAACUACGUGCCAGCAGCCGCGGUAAUACGUAGGGGGCGAGCGUUAUCCGGAUUUACUGGGUGUAAAGGGAGCGUAGACGGUUACGCAAGUCUGGAGUGAAAGGCGGGGGCCCAACCCCCGGACUGCUUUGGAAACUGUAUAACUGGAGGGCAGG